CCUUUUAACGCAGUCUGAAUUUCUUUAUCUCCCCUUUAAAAGCAAACUGACCGUGCGAUUAGAUUAAAACCCCACAAAAGUUUUCCAAUUCUCCUCUUCAGACCACCUUCUUCCUUUCUUUCGUCUUUCUUUUACUUUCAAAAAGUUUUCAACGUUCUUUGUUUUCAGAUCUGGCCUUGCCCAGAGAGAAGGAGAGAGAUACAAGCACAAAAGAGAGAGAGAAAAAGGGGAAAAAGACAGAAACGAGGUCUGAAACCCCUCCAUUCUCUUCAAUGUGGAGAGGGAAAGAAAAGAAUAUCAGAAAGAGGUAAGGAAGAAGAUGGUAGAAAACAAAUUAGAAUGGUAAUCUUUCUAGCAUUCUAUUUCUUUUUCAGUUUCUUGAGAGCAAAGAAUCAAAUAGAGAAAGAAAAGAAGAACAAAGAAAGAAGGAAAAAAAAAGAAGAUCGAAAAGAAGAUAGAUAGGUUUCUCUUAAAGACCCAACACUGCCUAGUCAUUCUGUUAAAUUUCAAUCUCUCUUGUUCUCACAAGCCUUGCCCAGAGAGAAGUUGAGAAGUACGAGCAUAGCAGAGAGAGAAUAAGGGGAAAAAGACAGAAACGAGCAGACAUGGAUCUGGAACUCUCCAUUCUCUUCAAUGUGGAGAGGGAAAGAAAAGAAUAUCAGAAAGAGGUGAGGAAGAAGAUGAUAGAAAACAAAUUAGAAUGGUCAUCGUUUUACCAUUCUAUUUAUUUUUCAGUUUCUUGAGAGCAAAGAAUCAAAUAGAGAAAGAAAAGAAGAGCAAAGAAAGAAGGAAAAAAGAAGAUCGAAAAGAAGAUAUAUGGGUUUCUCUUAAAGACCCAACACUACUUAGUCAUUCUGUUAAAUUUCAAUCUCUCUUGUUCACAAGCCUUGCCCAGAGAGAAGGUGAGAAGUACGAGCAUAGCAGAGAGAGAAAAAGGGGAAAAAGACAGAAACGAGCAGACAUGGAUCUGCAAUAGUUGCUUUUUUCUUUCUUUUUCUUUUCUUUAAAAAGUUUUUUAAAAAACAAAUUGACCGUUGUGUUAUGCUUGUCGGCGUGCGCAGUCUGAAUUUCUUUAUUUUCCCUUUAAAAGCAAACUGACCGUGCGAUUAGAUUAAAACCCCACAAAAGUUUUCCAAUUCUCCUCUUCAGACCACCUUCUGCCUCUCUUUUACUUCCAAAAAGUUUUCGACGUUCUUUGUUUCCAGAUCUCGCCUUGCCCAGAGAGAAGGAGAGAGAUACAAGCAUAAAAGAGAGAGAGAAAAAGGGGAAAAAGACAGAAACGACCAGACAUGGAUCUGAAACCCCUCCAUUCUCUUCAAUGUGGAGAGGGAAAGAAAAGAAUAUCAGAAAGAGGUAAGGAAGAAGAUGAUAGAAAACAAAUUAGAAUGGUCAUCUUUCUAGCAUUCUAUUUCUUUUUCAGUUUCUUGAGAGCAAAGAAUCAAAUAGAGAAAGUAAAGAAGAACAAAGAAAGAAGGAAAAAAGAAGAUCGAAAGGAAGAUAGAUAGGUUUCUCUUAAAGACCCAACACUGCCUAGUCAUUCUGUUAAAUUUCAAUCUAUCUUGUUCACAAGCCUUGCCCAGAGAGAAGGUGAGAAAUACAAACAUAAUAGAGAGAGAAAAAGGGGAAAAAGACAGAAACGAGCAGACAUGGAUCUGAAACUCUCCGUUCUCUUCAAGGGAGAUCGAAAAGAAGAUCGAUGGGUUUCUCUUCAAGACCCAACACUACUUAGUCAUUCUGUUAAAUUUCGAUCUCUCUUGUUCACAAGCCUUGCCCAGAGAGAAGGUGAGAAGUCCGAGCAUAGCAGAGAGAGAAAAAGGGGAAAAAGACAGGAACGAGCAGACAUGGAUCUGAAACUCUCCAUUCUCUUCAAUGUGGAGAGGGAAAGAAAAGAAUAUCUGAAAGAGUUUACUGGGAGUAAAGAGCCAAAUAGAGAAGGAAAAGAAGAGCAAAGAAAGAGGGAAGAAGAAGAUCGAAAGAAGAGAUAUGUCUUUCUCUUCAAAGACCCAACGGUAGCCGGAGUAUGAUGAGAUGUUCCCUUCACUAUUCAGUGAUCUUCCUAAUAUAUUUCCUCCACACCUGUCGACAUGGGCUAGUGAACUUUGGCACUGAAAUAGCAUGAAAGCGCUCUUUUAGAUAUAGAUUAUGAGGAACCAGCGGAAUAAGAGGUUUGUCUUUCUUCUUUUAUCCUGUUUUUCAGUUUUGUUUUGUUUUUUUUCAUCCUAAUUUUUUCUUUAAUAUUUUUUAAUGGAGUUGGAGAGAGUUACAACGUUAUUUAUUUCUGCAUCAUUUAUCACAUUAAGUUUUAAAAAGUUUUUAGAUGGAGCUUCAUAAGGAGAUCUUCUCCAUGAUCAUUUUAGUUAAAAAGAUUUGUGGUUCGAUUUGAUGGCAGAUAAUGGUACUGGCGGGAACUCGUCUUCUUCGGUUGCAGGAGUACUUGGUCAGCAGUUUCUUUUGUUUCUUCAAUGUUUCUAAUAAGGUUGCAUUUACUUAAUUGGUAAUUAGGAUUUUGGAGCUAAACCAUACAGUGGUUUAGUACUAUGAGCUGCUGUGUUUUAUGAGCAAACCUGCGAAUACUGACUCUCUUACUUACGCUGGCAAGCUCUCAGUAUAGCCUACGGCGGGCUUUACGGUAUGUGAGCAACAAAAGAGGGAGAGUGUGUAUGAAGAAGAGAACCAGAACGGCAGAGGAAGAGAGUUCGUAUGAAAGUUUACCUCAUGAUUCUAUUAUCUGAUUAGUCAAUUAUUUUUAUUUUUUUACUAACUAAUCAAACAAUAAUUUUUAAAUUAUGCUACCAUAACUUAGUUGAAGGAUG